AGACGUCUACAUUAGAUACCCGUGUAGUCCCAGCCGUAAACUGUGCGCGUUAGGUGUAUCGGUGACCACGAGUCACCGAGGUGCCGAAGGGAAACCGUGAAACGUGCCGCCUGGGAAGUACGGUCGCAAGGCUGAAACUUAAAGGAAUUGGCGGGGAGCACCACAACGGGUGGAGCCUGCGGUUUAAUUGGACUCAACGCCGGGAAGCUCACCGGAUAAGACAGCGGAAUGAUUGCCGGGCUGAAGACUCUGCAUGACUAGCUG
rnacentral:rRNA from 1 species